CCUANGGGCGGCAGCAGUGAGGAAUAUUGCACAAUGGGCGAAAGCCUGAUGCAGCGACGCCGCGUGGGUGACGAAGGCCUUCGGGUCGUAAAACCCUUUUGGCAGGGACGAGUGAGGACGGUACCUGUCGAAUAAGUCUCGGCGAACUACGUGCCAGCAGCCGCGGUAAAACGUAGGAGGCGAGCGUUAUCCGGAUUCACUGGGCGUAAAGCGCACGUAGGCGGUCGGGUAAGUCGGAUGUUAAAGCCCCUGGCUCAACUAGGGGAGGUCAUUCGAUACUGCUCGGCUUGAGGAUGAGAGAGGAAAGUGGAAUUCCCGGUGUAGCGGUGGAAUGCGUAGAGAUCGGGAGGAACACCAGUGGCGAAAGCGGCUUUCUGGCUCAUUCCUGACGCUGAGUGUGCGAAAGCGUGGGUAGCAAACGGGAUUAGAUACCCUGNUANUC
rnacentral:rRNA from 1 species